GGUGGUAUAGCUCAGUGGUGGAGUGCGAGCUUAGCAUGCACAAGGUCCUGGGUUCAAUCCCUAGUGCCUCCA
rfam:Camelus ferus unplaced genomic scaffold scaffold852, whole genome shotgun sequence.